rnacentral:rRNA from 1 species
UGUGUAGGCGGUUGCUUAAGUUUGGUGUGAAAUCUCCCGGCUCAACUGGGAGGGUGCGCCGAAUACUGAGUGACUCGAGUGCGGGAGAGGAGAGUGGAAUUCCUGGUGUAGCGGUGAAAUGCGUAGAUAUCAGGAGGAACACCGGUGGUGUAGACGGCUCUCUGGACCGUAACUGACGCUGAGACACGAAAGCGUGGGUAGCAAACAGGAUUAGAUACCCUGGUAGUCCACGCCCUAAACGAUGCAUAUUUGGUGUGGGCCGUUCAGUCGGUCCGUGCCGGAGCUAACGCGUUAAAUAUGCCGCCUGGGGAGUACAGUCGCAAGGCUAGAA